UCCCUGAUGGUCCAGUGGUUAGAACUCCGUGCUGCUGACUCAGGGGGCCCAGGUUCAAUCCCUGGUCAGGGAA